rnacentral:rRNA from 1 species
GAUCAUGGCUCAGGACGAACGCUGGCGGCGUGCCUAACACAUGCAAGUCGAACGGAGAUGUUUAUUUCGGUAGACAUCUUAGUGGCGCACGGGUGAGUAACGCGUGAAUAACCUGACCCGAAGAGGGGGAUAACACCUGGAAACAAGUGCUAAUACCGCAUAAGACCACGGAUCGCAUCGGUCGAGAGGUCAAAGGAGAAAUACCGCUUGGGGGGUUCGGCGUCCCGACUUAGGUAGUUGGUGAGGUAACGGCCGACCAA